UGGGGAAUAUUGGACAAUGGGGGAAACCCUGAUCCAGCAAUGCCGCGUGUGCGAUGAAGGCCUGAGGGUUGUAAAGCACUUUCGUUGGGGAGGAAAUGCUCAAAGCUAAUACCUUUGAGAGCUGACGUUACCUAAAGAAGAAGCACCGGCAAACUCUGUGCCAGCAGCCGCGGUAAUACAGAGGGUGCAAGCGUUAAUCGGAGUUACUGGGCGUAAAGGGCGCGUAGGCUGAUGUUUAAGUUAAUUGUGAAAUCCCUGGGCUUAACCUAGGAAUUGCAGUUAAUACUGGACAUCUAGAGUAUGGUAGAGGAAAGUGGAAUUCUCGGUGUAGUGGUUAAAUACGUAGAUAUCGAGAAGAACACCGGUGGCGAAGGCGACUUUCUGGACCAAUACUGACGCU
rnacentral:rRNA from 1 species